GACGAACGCUGGCGGCGUGCUUAACACAUGCAAGUCGAGCGGUAAGGCCCUUUCGGGGGUACACGAGCGGCGAACGGGUGAGUAACACGUGGGUGACCUGCCCUUAGCUCUGGGAUAAGCCUGGGAAACUGGGUCUAAUACCGGAUAUGACUCCAUGACGCAUGUUGUGGGGUGGAAAGCCUUGUGCGGCCAGGGAUGGGCCCGCGGCCUAUCAGCCUGUUGGUGGGGUGAUGGCCUACCAAGGCGACGACGGUAGCCGGCCUGAGAGGGCGACCGGCCACACUGGGACUGAGACACGGCCCAGACUCCUACGGGAGGCAGCAGUGGGAAUCUUGCGCAAUGGGCGAAAGCCUGACGCAGCGACGCCGCGUGAGGGAUGACGGCCU
rnacentral:rRNA from 1 species